rnacentral:lncRNA from 1 species
CCGUGUCACACAGAUGAUUAGUUUGCACUAUUAAAUUGUCAAAAAGGAAGGAUUUCUCUAAUAAUGCCUUUUCGUCUAAGAAUUAUGGAAUUCAGGGCUGUUGGCGACUGCAUGGGUUAGGAAGGUUGAGAGUGGCCAACCACUGAGAAACGCGCAAGGUCAGACGAAGUUCUCAGCAGUAAUCGUCACUGUGUUAAGUGUGUGGCAUCGUGGCUGGAGAGUGGAGGCAGAAGUGGCGCCACUUGUUAUAGCCUGCGACUCGAUUGGGACAUCGUUUUGUCUGCAACAUGUAAACGUAAUCAGAUUUUUAUCAUUCACCCCGUAAUGUUUACAGAUGUUAUGGACCGUUUUUCCCAAAUAUGCUCAUUGGGAGGCAUAGUUUAGUAGAUUACUUAUUCUCUAGUCAGAAAAAAAGGAUAUCUCUGCCUAAAUAAAUUAAGAGUGACCAUUGUAUUUCUCAUAUGUAUUGACUAGGUUGAUUAUGCAUUUCAGUGCACCGCACUAUUCUUCAUAAAGGCCGGACAAAUCAUUGCUCAUUAACUCAUACAGACGAAACAAUUGAAUUGUAGUUUCCUGGAAGGGUGCUGCAGUGCAUUGGAGGCCUGUCUCCGCUCUGAUAGGAGGGUGCUGCAGUGCAUUGGAGGCCUGUCUCCGCUGUGAUAGCAGCCCUGGAGCCUAGAUGAUUGAUGAAGGCGAGGGCAAGGCCGAGCGCUGGCAGCAUAAAGCCCCAUAGACGCAUCAAUAAAGCCUGGCUAGUGGAGGGCCUGGGCCUGCUCAAUAGCCACCGCCUACGAGGAUUCAGGCAAGCAAGCGGAGAGGGGAAGGUGCUCUGUUGUUCCCUAAUCCGUUUAGCCAUUGAGCCACCAGCCGUCUGAGGCUGGAUAAGUGCAGCGACGGAUGUGUGCGGGGGUGAAAAUAGCAGGGAGUGGAGGGCUGGAGAGGACCCGCGGGGGGAGAUAUAGUGGGACGCAUACAGUUCACACACAACUGAUUGAAGGAUAGAGGGAGAGGGAGAUGGAGAAAGAGGCUGAUGAUUACCCAGCUUCCUCCAGGGUAGAAGGGAAGGGUAGAGCCAGCCAUCAUGGGUUGGUGGGUGAGGGAAUAAUGGUUGGUUAGUGUGCAUUUAUUUCAUUGAUUGCAUACCGGACAGUACAGGUGUUUGUAAUUGCUUGAGUAUGUAACACAUAUUAUUUAUCUUAACAUGUUAUGACAAAGUUCAGUUCUAAUCUAACCAAAAAGGCAUAUACUCCUCAGGCAAUAUACUGGAGAAAACACAGAGGCAAAACGAGAACAUCUUGGACAAUAGUUCAAGAGUUAUUUCCCUUCAUGCACAUCUAUAAGCAAGAAUUCCAAACAGGCACCAGCUAAUCAAAAGGCCUUUUUAAAAGUAUUACACUUGCACCAAGCAACAGGAGCCCAAUUGGUCAGCCAUUGACCCCUGCUCCACAGACCCCUACCCCACUGAAGCUUAGGGAAUCCCUGUCAUUCUAAAAAUGCAUUUGUCCAGUGUGUCCACCACAGUGGCCAGCCAGACCUCAUGCAGGCCAUAGUAACUCCAGUGUACCACAUUCCUCAAUGGCACAAUUAGGCUGCAAUCAUCUCCUACCAAGCCAGCUUUUCACUGACCCCAGGCCCAGUGCAGCUACACGGUACCCUGCAGCACGGCCUGGUUGGAGAUGGAGGGAAGAGAAGGAGGGAGGGAGGAGGGAGAGUGAUGGGGCCUGUGCCCUAUGGCUCCAGUCUGCCCUAUGACACUCACUCCCAGCAGGCCUCAGAUGUUAGUAGAAUGGACAUUUCCAAUCAAAGCAAUGUCCCAUGAUAGCGGGACUAUCUGGACAUUCUAUUUCUAUGUCUCAGCUGAGCUCUCCACUGAUCCCUCUACCUCAGCCACUCUCCGACCCAUGCAAUUUCAUAAAAAGGGGCAAUUCAACCCGAAAUCCAAGUUUCUAAGAUGAUGAUGUUUCCAGUCAUUUGGGGUUGAUGUCUACAGAUUUAUCCUAAUUAAUGUAUGAUGUAGAAGGAUACAUCUGGUAUGUUUUAAAUUUUUUAAUUUGUUUAUAUCUUAGAGAGGAUGACCGUUUUGAAGAUAUGUUUUCUCGAAAAAUGUUCUAAAAACGAAUUUG